UCCUGUGGUUUUUGGUCUGUAAUAGCCAAAAUGAGAGUCUUUUGUUCUUGGUACUGCAGGGUGCAGAUUGCAUGAUGAGUUAGUUUACGUUUCGCAAAGCAGAGGAAUGGUAAGUACUGAAUUUUUCUUCUUUGAUUCCUUCUAAUUUGAAAUAGAUUUUCACCAUGUAGACCCAUAUCUACUAGGAUACCAGAAGAGCAGCAUGUAAAGUGGCAGCCUUUAUUGGCAGGGAAAAGAAACGGACGUAUGUUUACUUUUUAAAACUGAAUUACAGCAUCAGUCUUCUUAUUUAUUGCUACAUCUGUACACAAACAGCACUUUAUGUAUUCCAGUGGUGUUAAUCUGCAGACGAUCUGUGUCAGCAGAGUUAACCACUGCUGCAGCGUCAGUCUGACGCACAUUUAGUAUGAAAAACCCACAACUUCACAUGUUCGCCGAGUCAUCAAAUACAUAUAAAUGAAUCAAUCUGCAGAUGCAAAGGUAAUUCUAGUGAUCUAUGAUGAGUUUUGGAGUGGAAUGCAGAGGAAAUUUCUCAAUCUAUUACAAAACAAAGAGUUUCACAUCAGUUCAGUGAGGAUAUUUUACUGACUGAUACUACGAUGAUGUAAAUUCAACGUGCUCCUCCUUUAUUUUUUUAUAUAUAUAUUUGUUUUGUCAUGUCCGCUAUUUGACGCUACUUCCACCAGGAACUAUUAGCGCUCGGAACACAUGGACAUGCCACACGUGCUAGAUGAUUACCUAGCAACAAAGUGUUUGUUUAAUAUUUAAUAUGAUUUAACCGUGGUUUCAGUAUGGUUUUAACUCGAAGUGGAUACUGUACAGUAAGAUGCAUGUUCUAGGACAAGACGUCACAUGUGAUGACCAAAACAUCCAGUUGGAUCUUACCUGCAGGACACAUUGGACAGCAUUCAUUCCCUAUCUGAUAUUCUGCUGGAUGACAUGUUAGAGUUUGACCAGUGAAGACAUUCAUCACGAUGAUCUGUGGAGAUAAGAAAAGGUUUUUCUGUCUCAGUGAAGUCUCAGUUAAAAUUGGGACAGAGAAGAAGAGCUGAGGUGAGGUGAUGAUGCUACAGGAAGUUACCUGAUAUCUGACAGAAAUGCCAACUUGUUACAAUCUUUUUUCCAUUUUUCUUCACUUUAACUGAUUUACGCAGGAGGGAGGAUUUAAUUUUCCCUCGAUGAUACCUCUGGACCAACAUAUUCGCCUGAAUGAAACUACAUUUUAAAGGAUGAAUCCAGUAUUUUUUAAACCUUGGCUUCAUUUCUCCAUCUUCCCAAGUGUAAAAUGAUUAAAGGGGAAAAAAAUGUUUGCGACUGGUCAAGUAUAAAGAAAGAACAUUUUGUCAGACAGCUGCCAAACAGCUGCAAUGUAAUCUCAUGGGUCAUUAUGUUGGUGUCAAAGUUGAAGAGCUUGUUUUUGCCAUCGACAGGCUCAGAUUGUGAUUAUAAGAACAUUACAGAUUUGUUUUUCUACACAGACAAAUGUGCAUCUAAUAUGUGACAGAAGAAGACAGAGUUGGAUUGAUCCAGAGUCCAGAAAGUGCAGCAUGAUGUCUCCUAAAACAUGAAAAAAAAUCAACUAACUGUCUGUACCCUUUUAAAAUUGGGGCAAUAAAAUGACUUUGCAAAGCUU